rnacentral:ncRNA from 1 species
AGACACGACCCCGUGACCGGUCCCGAAGACGCGUUCUUCGGGGGAAAGAGGGAAUGCCGUGCCGCGCGCGUCUUGCGCGCCUAACCGGCAGCUGCCCCCGCAACUGUAAGCGGAGAGUCCGGGCCAAGACGCCACUGGAGAAAUCCGGGAAGGCAGGCCCAGACACUGACCCGCCAGCCAGGAGACCUGCCGGACACCCGUCGCCCGC